rnacentral:rRNA from 1 species
UACGUAGGGUGCGAGCGUUGUCCGGAAUUACUGGGCGUAAAGAGCUCGUAGGUGGUUUGUCGCGUUGUUCGUGAAAACUCACAGCUUAACUGUGGGCGUGCGGGCGAUACGGGCAGACUAGAGUACUGCAGGGGAGACUGGAAUUCCUGGUGUAGCGGUGAAAUGCGCAGAUAUCAGGAGGAACACCGGUGGCGAAGGCGGUUCUCUGGGCAUGUCCUGACGCUGAGGAGCGAAAGUGUGGGGAGCGAACAGG